rnacentral:rRNA from 1 species
UACGUAGGUGGCGAGCGUUGUCCGGAUUUAUUGGGUUUAAAGGGUGCGUAGGCGGUCCUAUAAGUCAGUGGUGAAAUAUCGCGGCUCAACUGUGAGGGUGCCAUUGAUACUGUAGGACUUGAGUGAAUUUGAGGUAGGCGGAAUUGACGGUGUAGCGGUGAAAUGCUUAGAUAUCGUCAAGAACACCGAUAGUGAAGACAGCUUACCAAGCUUCAACUGACGCUGAGGCACGAAAGUGUGGGGAUCAAACAGG